UGGGGAAUCUUGCACAAUGGGGGAAACCCUGAUGCAGCGACGCCGCGUGAGCGAUGAAGCCCUUCGGGGUGUAAAGCUCUUUCGGCAGGAACGAUAAUGACGGUACCUGCAGAAGAAGCUGCGGCUAACUACGUGCCAGCAGCCGCGGUAAUACGUAGGCAGCGAGCGUUGUUCGGAGUUACUGGGCGUAAAGAGUGCGUAGGUGGUUCUCUAAGUUCGGUGUGAAAUCUCCCGGCUCAACUGGGAGGGGUGCGCCGAAAAACUGGAGGGCUGGAGUGCGGGAGAGGAGAGCGGAAUUCCUGGUGUAGCGGUGAAAUGCGUAGAUAUCAGGAGGAACACCUGUGGUGCAGACGGCUCUCUGGACCGCUACUGACACUGAGGCACGAAAGCGUGGGGAGCAAACAGGAUUAGAUACCCUGGUAGUCCACGCCCUAAAACGAUGCAUACUUGGUGUGGGUCAUUCAGUUGAUCCGUGCCGGAGCUAACGCGUUAGGUAUGCCGCCUGGGGAGUACGGUCGCAAGGCUGAAACUUAAAUGAAUUGACGGGGUCAUAGCUGUUUCCUG
rnacentral:rRNA from 1 species